UACCGGAAUGGCUGUAUCAGGUGGCAAUUAGUAUUAGUAUUAGGCAAGGUAUACAUCAGAAUACUAGUGUACGGCCGGGGCUCUUGUGGCAGGUGUUCAUUUGUAUGAACAAACUGAAGUAUUCUUCGCAUCGACUUUGACUUCAAGGAUGCAAGUGCAAUCAAGCCAAAGUGAUAAGAGGCAAUGAUAGCAGCCCUCGAAAUUCUAGGCAAAUCCUUUUGUCCAAACAGGCAUGUCAUAUAUCAGAAUCCCCAAUCCAAAUGAAACCCCUGUGGUAAUUAAGGCAUAAACAUAAGCUCUCCAAGGGUGCUUGCUUUCUCUCAUUGCAUUGAACUCAGAAAUGAAAGUAGAAACUGUACUCAGACAACCCGGAAAUCCUAACUCUAUCCCAGUUGCAACAGUGUUGAAGUUCUUAGUAUUUACCUGCACCACACCAAUCUGACCUCAUCAAAAUUUAUGGAGUAACAAUUACUAUAUUUCAUGCUCAUAGAAUAAUUACUCUCCAGAAAACAAUUACUAUAUUUCAUGCUCAGAUUUUCCUGAAAAAGAAAGAAGAAAGAAAGAAUGGUCAAUUAGUCAGGCUGAAAGCAUAGCUGCAUAACUAUUUGGCAAAUGAGGAUAUGCUUUGAGCCAGCAUAAGAAUAUUUCACGAUUCAGAUAAUGAAAGAGCCAUCCAUAUGCCGUUAUAUGGAAGACUAUGCCAAUGCGCAUGCUUGCAGAUGCCAAAGAGUAAGGUUUGCAAAUUGGGAAUCAAAAAGUAUGGACAGAAACCAUUCAAUGAACCCUUACCGACUUUUCCCCUACAGAGAGUCCUGCCGUUAUACAAGCUGCAGAAACAUUGGCAAUCAGAGUCCCAAAUGGAAGCCAUCUCAGAAUCCCAGACUUUCCUAACCCACGUCCAUUAAUUCGAGCUAAGAACCACCUGAUCCACACUCCUAGAGGUGCAACUAAGCAAGCCAGCCACAGCUGAGCUCCACUGCUACCACUGCCAAAUUCCUCCUUAAGCAGUGCUCCGCUUACACUCAAUAAAAUACCUAGAACUAACAAUAAUACCACCAUUGCUGCCAAAUGAUGUCUGCAACUGUUGAGCCUCCAAUUACAAUAAGUGCUAGGGACUUCCCUUUUUGUAUUUGUAUUCAGCCUUUUGAGAAUCCACCUGAAACCCUUGGCUGUCUCAAUCCCAAAAAUGAUGGAAUAAGCUACAAGAAACAGGCCUGCCAACAAAGUUUAAUUUUUUUGGAUGGUUUAAGCCAAGACAAGACCUUUUUCUUUUAUUAGUUUUGAAUAGGCAAACAAAAAACACUUGCCACUCAUAAGCAUUACCUGUGAGAAACCCAAGUACAGCUUGUACCCAGUGGCCACUUACACUGAGAUCAAGCAUUUUCUGAUUCCAACCACUGAAAGUCGUGAGGCUUCCCAAAUACCCAGUAGUCAAUCCAAUUGCCAAAAUAUCAUAUACCUGAGAUAUGUCUGCUUUGAAAACAACACCCCACCACCCCAUCAAGAAAGAACCAACCUGUAAGAAUAUGUAAUUAAGUUUGCAAGAGAAAAAGAACUUGGAAGAUAUUCAUAGGAGGUGAAACAGAGAGAAAUCCAAAGAAAAUGAAGAUCUAUGUGGGGGUGCAAAAACCAAACCUCAGGAAUCCAAUCUAUCCCAAAAAUAUAUUUUCUAACCUAAGCCUGGAAACAGUUGUCCACCACCGUAACUGCCUUAAUUUAUCUUUAAUUCAUUUUAGAUAACUCCUUGGUUAAUUAAGUAUCCAGAAUCUACAGAUUGAUAGUAAGUGCUAUGAGCAGCAUGUCCAGCCCAUGCGCCUCAUAGCAGCAUUCAUAAGAGUAACGCCUUGUCCAACAAAUCAUCAAUAUAUCAUUGCCAACAUUAAAUGGCACAAACUGCUCAAUUAGCAUUAGACAAACCAUGCCAAAAUCUUGGGGCGUUCCAAUAGAGCCCAAGCCUUUACAAAUGCGUAUGAGCGCUCACUAAUAAAUGUAUUUUUGCACGCAUGGCGGUGCCAGUUUGUGUGUGCACCCUAUACCCGUGAACUGUCACUCAUUAAAAACAGUGCGUGUGUGUCACAGAGAGAGAGAGAGAGAGAGAGAGAGAGAGAGAGAGAGAGAGGGAUACCAUAUUAGAAGGAAGGUUUGGGUAUACAAUCGUGUGGUCGCUGGUCACACCUGAAACACUAGGUCCAAAAAGUCUUUCCAGCAAAUAUCUAGUUAAAACCUGCAAGACUAUCAAAAGUCAAAGUUUGCCAAUAAAACAUAUUCCUCCUUAUGUUUUGUAUCUCGAAAUAGGAAUCAAGGAAUGACCAAAGUGGCUCUUUGAAGGCUGAACAAAAGACUAAAGCCUCAAUUCUGUCCAACUUAAUAAUUUCCUGUCACCAAUCUAAUUAACUCGAGUAGAAAGGUCGAUUAUUUUACCCCAAGAAUUCCAAAAACAGCAAAUGGAUAAGACACAAUAUAUACUCCAAUGACAGAGGUAGUCCUUGUUUUUCCUGCAUAAGGAAGCAUGAAGCACAUAAUUUACUUGCAUUAUUUGAAGUUUGAUAUACAUACUAUCAUUAACAAUCGCACAAGCAGAAACAAUUAACUAAAAGCUCACUUGUUUUUUGUCCCUGGUGCACUUCAGUGGAUCAACUGGAAGGGGAGAUGUAACAUCCUCUGGCAAGGGUGACACGAGAGAGAUUGUAUUUAAUUCCGCUGGAUGAAUAACUGCCCCACUUUCCAUUGCAUGAUCUACAAACAAGCGGACACUACUAUUCACACUCUGCCUAUUGCUGUGGAGAGCCCGAUCACCAACAUCUCCAGCCUCCGAAACAGUCUCGCUAUGAAUGUCAUCAUCGGAGGACACAACACUUGAUAUGCUAAAAGAAAGCCUCCUCAAUGGACAGCCAGGGCUACUUGCUCUACUAAAUGAUCCAGUUCGUGUAGUUUCAGAGUUAUCAUUAGUACCAUGAUCCAUACCCUCCUGUCAGAAAUAUCAGAUUUCAUUCCUAUUGAUAAAGCCUCAAAAGAAGCAACAGAAAACUUGUGCUGAUUAUUCAUAAACUAAGAAAACAUGAAGCAAUAGUAGACAUUUCUUGAUUAUGCUGAUGAUUGGGUUAACUAUGCUUGCAGCAUCAGUAAAAGAUUGUCCCGUACUUUGUUAAACUAAAGUCCAUACAUAUAACAACAAGUGAUUCCUCUUACACAAAUUCUCACAACAAAAAGUAAUCUGAAAGAAAAAAACCAUAUAGACAACUGCAUUUCUCAGCAUUUAAACAUAUGUGUUUGAGAGAGAAGAAAAAUAAAAUCAUCAGACGGUAACUUGAAAGGUGUGCAAUGGGACCUAAUCAGACUGCUUAUUAUCUACUUCAACUAUUUGAAUAUGGAGAAAUGUAUUUUUCAAGAUAAAAUCAUUCAUAUGACUUCCUUGCACUUAAAAUCAUAAGCAUCACCUAACGCAGAUCUUAUUUCAAGAUUUUCCACACCAAAAUAGUCCGCUUCCUAUGGAUAAGCAACUGAAACAUGGUUCAGUAACGCAUGGUAUUCUUUUUAAAAUUAACAAUUACAAACGAUAAAUGUUAAAGGCCUUAACCAAAUGAUAGCUACAUGUUAUCUCUAAAAUGCCGUCUCAAAUUCAAAUUCCCAAUUACCAAUCUCAACCAUCAAAAAGUUUCCAAAAAGAAAAAGAAGGAACUAUGAGAUGAUGUAGGUGCAAUAUGCCUCAGCACUGAAGCAGAGCCAUCCAAAGAGAACUGAGAACAUGACAAUGUUUAGGAAAGGCAUAAUUCUGUCACCUCAACAAGAACCUGAUGCUGAAACUGGCAAAUGCAAGUUUAGUGAAUUUGUUGGAACAAGAAGUUGCAAGGACCAAUCCCAUGUGGAACUACAAGGGUAUUUAUGUAUUCAAUUGUACUAUUCCAACAAGCAACAAAGAAACACAUUUCCAUUGCAUAGCACACACGGAUUUAAUGAAGCUGCAAUACUAGUAAUUGCUUAAUGCUUAUAUAGUUUUCAGACAUUAAAACCAUAGCAGAAACCCUUGCAACAACUAUUUUUCCCAUCCUUCAAUUUAUAUUUUGAUAAUUCUUAUCAAUUGAAGGGGGUAAGCAACCAUAAAAAAGAAAACCAAAGAAAAAGUGAAGUUUCCAAUAAUUGCAGUGGUUAUGGUAGAGAGAAGGAGAGAACACCAUAAAAAAAAAAAUCAAAUACGACAAAUCAAGCAAUGAACCCACCAUUUUUUUCAGAUAAUCUGCCAUUCCAUUCAAAUGGAAGUGGAUCCCACUUUUGAUGAAAGAGUAAUUAUAUUCUAUUCAACAGGAAACUUUAUAACUUUAAUUGGGAACAAUCUCAAUUCUUAAUAAACCAUAAAUCAACAUCCUUUCAUUAGUUUUAAAGAUACUCCACUACCAUAACAGACCAAAAAAGAUGAAAAGUUAUAUCAUAAAAAAAUCUAUAAUAAACCCAGGUUUAAUCCAAUAGGAUUCCAGCUGAAAUUCCUAAAAUAUUAUUAAAUCUUUUGGAACAAAAAUCUUAAAAAGGCCAAACUUUUCGAGCUUUGCACUAAAAUAAUAAGCAUACUGAAAAUAAUUUAAUACUAAUAUAACGCUUAAUAAUUAAAUAAUAGUUAUAGAGGAGAGAAGUGGCGUACCGAAUACUCGUAGUUGAAGUUUGAACGCCGCGGGAAACGAGCAAGAGAGGUUUCAAAGCCAAAGAAACGCGUCAGGAACAAUAACCUUAAAAAAAAUUUUCUGAAAAUGGAGUCAAAGCUUCAGCAGAAAACAAGGUGAUCUCUGAUGGGAUAAUGAGAUUUGGAUAUUUCGAUGGUAGGAAGGUUUUGGGGGUUAAGAGUUUAAACUGAAAUGAAGAAGGAUGUUAAUGGAGGCCACGGCUUUGGAAGAAUGAUACAGAAAAUAAAAGCCGAAGUGAUUUAGUUUUAAAACAACGGAGAAACAAGACUUUAUACGAGAAGAUAUGAAUACAGAGUUAGAAGGUGACGUUUGUUUCACCUGAAGCAAUAAUCUCGACAAUACAGAAAUAAUAAAUAAUAAUUAAUAAUAUAAAAAUACAAAAAAAUAAAACACAUCAAAAUUUAUGUGAAAAAUAUUUUAAUACAAAGAGAAAAAAUUACGGACCACCAAAAAAAUUUUUACUAUCAAAUAAUAGGUAUAUAAAAUUUUUUUAACUAAAACUAGAGUUAAACAACAAUUAGAGAAACAAUUAGAGAAAUCUCACCAAAUAAGUGACUCAACAAAUACACUAUAGAUUUAUUCUUAGAGAGCUUCAAACUCGAUCUUCAACAUUCAGAAUGUAGAACUCUGAAUCAUGAACCUCCUGAAAAGGUUCCAACUCAAUCGGACCACAGAUCGACUUCCGUUCAACAACUCUCUCUUCUUUUUUUUUCUCUGCUUUUUAUAGCUUUUCUUCUUUUUCUACUUGGUUUUCAACACUCUCUUAAAACAACCCCACCUCUUUUUUAUUAAGUAGCUAGGGUUCUAUGUAAAAUGAAAUAUCAAAGCCCAUGGCCUUUACUUGAUCCAAAACCACUUAUAUGGGGCUGGAUCCCAUUUUUCUAACAAUCUCCUCCUUUAGCCCCAUUAGGAGGAAAUUCAUCACCAUAGCAAUUUCAUUUGGAACUUACCUUGGCCAAGAAACUCAUUCCGGUUAAGUUAUUGCAGAGCUCAAGCUUUCUCUGAGAAGUAUCUUAGUCAACAUAUCUGCUAUAUUCUUAUCAGUAUGAACUUUCUUCAACAGCAUCUGAUGUUCUCCAAUCACUGAACGUAACCAAUAAUAUCUAACAUCAAUGUUCUUUGUUCUAGCAUGGUACAUGACAUUCUUACUCAAAUCUAAAACACUCUGGCUAUCACAAAAUAUCACAUACUCUUUUUGAUUCAAUCCCAAUUCAAGAAGAAAACGUUUCAUCUAAAAUAUUUCUUUACAUGCUUCGAUUGCUGUAAUAUACUCAGCCUCUGUAGUUGACAAAGUAACACACUUUUGUAACUUAAAUUACCAAGAUACAGCUCCUCUUGUAAAAAUGAACAAAUAUCCUGAAGUAGAUUUUCUACCAUCAAGAUCGUCUGUCAUGUCAGCAUCAGUAAACUUUCUAGAACUGGUUGUGAAACUCCAUAAGUCAAACACAUUUUUGAGGUACCCUUCAAAUAUCUAAAAAUUCAUUUCACUACUUUUCAGUGAACCUACUCCGAAUUAGAAAAAAAUCUGUUCACUACACCAACUGCAUGAGCAAUGUCAGGCUUUGUACAAACUAUAAGAUACAUUAAAGAACCGACUACAAAAGAAUAAAAAAUACUAGACAUAGUUAGUUGUUCUUCCUUAGACACUAGACAAGAUUUCUUACUUACGUGAAAAUGAUUGACAAGUGGACUGCUAACUAAUUUGGCAUGUUAUAUGUUGAAUCUAUCAAGCACUCAUUCAACUUAUUUUUUCUGUGACAACCACAGCUUUUUAGCUCUCUUAUCCCGGAUAAUGUCCAUACCAAAAAUCUACUUUGCUGGACCUAAAUCUUUCAUAUCAAAGACUUAGAUAAUUAUUCUUUCAACCUGUAAACUAUACUAGCAUCUUGUCUUACAAUCAACAUAUAAUAAUAGGAUAGUGAAGUUACCAUUAGGGAAUUAUUUAACAUACAUAUAAGAAUCCGCUGCUAUUUUUUUAUAGCUAUGACUCACCAUAAAAGAAUCAAACUUCUUAUACCAUUGUCGCGGAGCUUGUUUCAAGCUAUACAAGCUUUUUUUCAAUUUGCAAACUAAGUGCUCUUUCCUUUUCACUUCAAAACCCUCAAGUUUAUUCAUAUAAAUGUCCUCUUGCAAAUCACCAUUCAAAAAUGUAGUUUUAACAUUAAGUUGCUCAAACUCAAGAUUCAAACUAGUUGCUAAUCCCAAUACCACUCGAAUAGAACUCAUCUUUACAACUGAAGCAAAGAUCUCAUCAAAAUCGAUGCCUGAUUUUUUAGAAAUAUCUUUUAUUAUCAAUUGAGCUUUGUACCUCACUAGUUUGUCACUAUCCUUUUUCAACUUGAACACCUAUUUAUUCUUUAAUGGCUUCUUUCCUUUUGAAAGUUUAACAAGAUCAUAAGUACCAUUAUUUUACAAUGACUCAAUCUCUUCUUUCAUUGCUUUUAACCAGUGCUCUCUAUCUGAAGUAGCAUGCACAUCUUGAAAGCUUUCUGGCUCCCAUUCAUUGGUAACUAAAAUAAAAUCUGAACUUGGAUACCUAGUAGAUGGCCUACGCUCUCUAAUAGAUCUCCUAGGCUGAGACUCUACAUCACUUGAUAUCAAAGGUAGCUCUUCUUGUUAACACUUUCAUAUAGAAAAGAUUGCUUCCCCUGCUCAAAACUAAUUGCAUGUGGCUCAUUGCCAACUGUGGUUGGCUCAUUCAUAUCCUCAAGUUCUAUUUUUUACUCAUUUUCACCAUCUGUGGCUCUUUCCUGUAGAAUCUCUAUCGGUGUUGAAACAUCACACUCAAUAGUAACUCGUGUAGUCUUCUUAUUUUUUUCAAGGUCUGCUAUGGUUUCUUUUUCAUGAAAGACCACAUCUCUGCUUCUGACUAUCUUUUUCUUUACUAGAUCCCAUACCCUGUAACUAAAUUCUUCAUCAUCAUAUCUUACAAACACACACUGAGUGGCUUUACUGUCAAGCUUUGAUCUCUGCCCGUUCGACACAUGUAUGAAUGCUUUAUACCCAAAAACUUUCAAGUGAGAGUAUAAAGUCCACACUCUUUCUGGAAUGUCAAAGCCUAAAGGAACUGAUGGUAACCUGUUAAGUAAGUAACAAGCUAUGUUGACUGCUUCACCUCAAAAUGGCUUUGGUAAUUUUACCAUCCUCAACAUACAUCUGACUUUUUUCACAAUGGUGUGAUUCAUUCUUUCAGCUAUACCAUUAUGCUACGGUGUUUCAGGUUUUGUCAUCUCAUGCUUAAUCCCAUGCUUUGAACAAUACUCUUUAAAGUUUUUAGAUGUGUAUUCCCCACCAUUAUCAAUUCGAAUACACUUCAAGGGUAACCCUGUCAUCCUUUCAACCAUGACAUGAAAUUUUUAAAAAUAUUACAGUACUUGACUUUUAUAUUUCAAUAUAUACACCCAAGUCUUAUGUGAAGUAUCAUCAAUAAAAGUAAUAAAAUAUUUGCUACCACCUAAUGACUCAACCUCAAUGGGACCAUAUACGUUAAAAUAAAUUGAUUCCAAUUUAUUUUCUUUUCUCUGAGAACUUUUACGAAAAAAAACUCUAUGAAGCUUACUAAACAAAUAAUAAUCACAUGAAUCAAGAGACAUACAUUUGGUCAAGGGAAUAAGAGACUGCCUUGCCAAAACUUGUAACCUCUUUUCACUCAUGUCUACCAGUCUUUUGUGUCACAAGUUUGCUGAAGCAUCAUUUUUAACAGUAUUUACCUGGUUACCAUUUAAUUGUAUCCAUAUCUUAUACAUUAUGCCACAUAGUUUCCCCUUGCAACUACCAUAGAUCCUUUGAAAAGCUUUCACUAUCCAUUCUUUUGUCGACCUUCAUAUCCCUCAUUAUCAAGGACAUUAAUAGCAAGUAAGUUCAUUCUCAUAUCUGAAAUGUGUCUGACAUCCCUCAAAGUCAACAUGCAACCUAUACUAGUUUGUACAAUAAUAUCACCAAUCCCAACAAUCAGUGACACACUCUUAUUUCUCAUAUUGGUACAAUCAAAAUCUCCCUGCUUUGUAAGUUGUAAACAACUUUCUCUUAGGAAUACAAUGAUAUGCCGCUCUUGUGUCAAUUAUCCACUCAAUGUCGGGAUCACUAACAUGAUUAUAAUCACCAUGUGUACAAAUCAAAGUAACUAAAUCACUAUCCGAAUUCACUGUUGCAACAUUGCUAUCAUCUGAACUCUUACGUUUCUCAUCUUUUCGCUCUUACUUCAAGAUUUUACAGUUUCAUUUUAUAUGACCUAUCUUAUCAUAAUAGAAACACUUCACUUUACCUUUAGACUUGGAUCUAUGUUUAGACUUAUCACGACUUUUUGAGUCCUGACCUCUGUCGAUGUUUCUACCCCUAUUCUCUAUGACUAGAGCUUGAUUCUCAGGGUUUACAUCUUUUCACCUUACUUCUUCAUUAAGCAUACUAUCAUUUACCAUCUCCAAUGUCACCUUAUAAUUAAGAACUGAAUUAAGAACAGUCACAACUAGAGUAUUCCAACUGUCUGGUAAUGAACCCAAAAAAAAUAACGCCUUCAUUUCAUCAUCCAUCUUAAGCUCCAUAGUAGUCAUCUGAUUAAAUAUAUCUUGAAAAUCACUUCAAGUGCUCUGUAACAGAUCGUCAUCUUUAUACUGUAAAGUUACAAGCUUUUUAACAAGCAUAACUUUAUUCAUACCUAUUUUUCUCUCAUAAAUGCUGUUAAUUUUUCUCAAAUAAUGUGAGCAUCUGACUCCUGCGCUACAUGAUGGAACACGCUGAUAUCAACAUAUUUUUUUAUUGUAGUCAGCAUCUUUUUAUUUAGCUUCUUACUUUCAUAUCUGCUAGUUUAACCGAAUCACCCAAUACUGGCUCAUACAAAUCUUUGCAAUAUAGAUAAUCUUUCAUCAUAGGCUUUCAAAUUGAAUAAUCGAUGCUGUUAAUUUUAUCAUGGAACCUGUAUCACCCUUCAUGAUCUCAAACAGAAUUUACUUUUAUCCUGGGUUGCUUCUGUAUCGAUGUUUCAAAAUAACUAUCGCUCUGAUACCACUUGUUGCGUCUGAAGCAAUAAUCACAACAAUAUAGAAGCAAUAGACAAUAAUCAAUAAUCAAAAAAAUAAAAAAAAAAUAAAGCACACUAAGAUUUAAGUGAAAAACCCUCCAGUGUAGAGGAAAAAAAUCACGAACCACCAGAAAAAUCUUCACUAUCAAAUAAUAGGCAUACAAAGUUUUUCUCUAGCUAAAAUUAGAGCUAAACAAUAAUUAGAUAAACAAUUAAAAAAUUUCAUCAAAUAAGUGACUCAAUAUAUAUAUCCUGGAUUUGUUCCUAUAGAGCUUUAAACUCGAUCUUCACCAUUCAGAAUGUAGAACUCUGAAUCAUAAACCUUAUUACAAGAUUCCAAUUCAAUCAUAUCACGGAUCGACUUUCAUUCAAUUAACUCUCUUUUCCUUUUUUUCUCUCUACUUUUUUUGGUUUUCUUUUUUUUCUACUUGGUUUUCGACACUCCCUUAAAACAACUCAUUUUUUUUUUAUUAAAUAGCUAUGAUUCUGUGUAAAAUGAAAAAUUAAGGUUCAUAAUCUUUACUUAAUCUAAAAUUAUUUACAUUAGACUAGACCCUAUAUUCCUAAAAGCGUCGGCGAGUUAGCCACUUGGCUUUGAUGCGUUGGAGUUUGACUUGCCCACGCUGUACUUUUAUCUGUUAAACAUAGCACAAGUUACUAUAAUGAAAUUGAUGUGUUGGUGAUGCAUAUUAAGUAUAUGCAUUGUCCCGAGAAAAAGAAAACAAGUAAAAUCAGAAUAACAUUAACAAAUCCCUGCAUUGUAAGCUACUUUCGGGCAUAAAUAAUAAUAAAAAAAUAAGUGAAAUCAGAAUAAUAUUAACAAAUCCCUGCGUAAUAAACUAAUUUCAUGCAUAAAUAAUAAAAAAAAUUAAUGUCACGUCUCCUAUGUUGCAAUGAAUUUUUUAUAUUAUUUUUUUAAUCAUAGUGUCUAAACAAUUUUGAUUAAAAUUAAAGAAACGUAAAAAAUAUUAUUUGUAAUUUAUAAAUUUAUAUUAUAAAUAUUAUGUUCAAAUAAAUAGUAUAGUUAAAGAAGUCAUGUAAUUAUGUAGUUCAACAAAAAUUUUAAUAUAAAUAGUACUGUUUUUAAUAAAUAAAUAAAUAAAAGUUUUUUUCAAAAGAAAUUUAAUUUUUUAAUAAUUUGAUAUCUAAGUUUGCCUUUGUAAGAUAGAUUGUUAUACAUAUUCAAUCUUUCAUAUUUGUUAAAAUGUAAUACAAAGAAGAAAAAAAUGUAUUAAUAAGAUUAGAUUGCAUUUAAAAAGAUUUGCUAUAAUUUUUUGUUUGUAGAAUUUGUGUUAAAAAAUAAUAUGUGCAUUAUAUUAUAUUUCAUUCCAAGCUAGUCAGAUCGUGAAUUCUUUUCGUGCUCUAUUUGUAAUAAAAAAAAAUUAAUGCAAUGAUCAUGUGUAUUUAUAUUAUUUAAUAAAUAUAUUAAACUUAAAUUAUAUUAAAUAUUUAAUACAUUCAUUCACAAUUAAUUUAAUUCAUAAAUAUCAUAAAUGAUUAAAUGAUUAAAUUCAAAAAUAAUUAAAUUCAAUCAAUUUGAAUUUAAUUCAUAAUUAAUAAUAACUUGUAAAUAUAAAUUUAGAUUCAAAAUUUAAAUGGAACGAAUAAUAUAAUUUAUUUAUAAUUAAUUGAGUUUAUGAAUAUCAUAAAUUCAUGAAUUCUUAAAUUCAUAAAUAAUCAAAAUAUAUUUAUUUAUAAUUAAUUAAAUUCAUUGGUAUUAUAAUUUCAUGAAUGACUAAGUUAAUGAAUAUUCAAAUAUAAUAAACUCAAAUUUUAAAUAAUACGAUAUAGGAAAUAUAUGUAUUCACAAUUAAUUAAAUUUAUAAAUACUAUAAAUCCAUAAAUAUUUAAUGAAACUUAUACAAGAAAUGACUCAUGCUUACAUAAUAGUCUAAGUGACACAAUAUUAAAAAUAUGGGAGAGAUAGCCAACAAGAUUACAAAGCAAAAACACUAUAAAAAAAAACUCAGUUAUGUCAAAUGUCACAAUUAAUGAACAAAACAGAGUAGCAAAAAGCUAUCCGAAACCCCCAAAAAAACCUGUUGGACAAGCUGUCAAAACAUUGAAGCAAAUGUUGUGCCUUGUCACCUGUGUUGAUGCUUGAUAUCAGGCAUCAGCAAACAUUGUCUAGCCGUACCGGAAUGGCUGUAUCAGGCGGCAAUUAGUAUUAGUAUUAGGCAAGGUAUACAUCAGAAUACUAGUGUACGGCCGGGCUCUUGUGGCAGGUGUUCAUUUGUAUGAACAAACUGAAGUAUUCUUCGCAUCGACUUUGACUUCAAGGAUGCAAGUGCAAUCAAUCCAAAGUGAUAAGAGGCAAUGAUAGCAGCCCUCGAAAUUCUAGGCAAAUCCUUUUGUUCCAAACAGGUAUGUCAUAUAUCAGAAUCCCCAAUC
rnacentral:lncRNA from 1 species